CCGGGACUGUCUGGGUCCUCGGUCCUGGCGCUCGGUCCCCGCGGACGCAGCAGGUCGGCCACUGUCACUCACAACUGCUGCCUGGAGACACCCAGGAAAGGACAUUCGCCAUCUUUAACACUUUCCAGUUCAGGCUAGAGGUGCAGACAGCGACAAGAAUGGACGAAUGUACGACAAUUUUGAAGAAAAU